UACGUAGGGGGCAAGCGUUAUCCGGAUUUGCUGGGUGUAAAGGGAGCGUAGACGGCGAUGCAAGUCUGAAGUGAAAGCCCGGGGCUCAACCCCGGGACUGCUUUGGAAACUGUAUGGCUGGAGUGCUGGAGAGGCAAGCGGAAUUCCUAGUGUAGCGGUGAAAUGCGUAGAUAUUAGGAGGAACACCAGUGGCGAAGGCGGCUUGCUGGACGAUGACUGACGUUGAGGCUCGAAAGCGUGGGGAGCAAACAGG
rnacentral:rRNA from 1 species